GCUCAGAACGAACGCUGGCGGCGUGCUCCACACAUGCAAGUCGAACGAACCUUCGGGUUAGUGGCGGACGGGUGAGUAACGCGUGAGAAUCUGCCCUCAGGAGGGGGAUAACGGUUGGAAACGACCGCUAAUACCCCAUAUGCCGAGAGGUGAAAAGAAAUUCGCCUGAGGAUGAGCUCGCGUCUGAUUAGCUAGUUGGUGUGGUAAUGGCGCACCAAGGCUUCGAUCAGUAGCUGGUCUGAGAGGAUGAUCAGCCACACUGGGACUGAGACACGGCCCAGACUCCUACGGGAGGCAGCAGUGGG
rnacentral:rRNA from 1 species